GCAGACAUGGCGCCGCGGUUGUUUUAUAACAGUGUUAAUAAUGAAAUAUCCUGAACUGGCCUCCAGAAAUAAACAAAGGCUAAAGAGUGAAGACCGAGUCAGGUAAGAGAGUCACGAUUGGAAUAAGUUUGUACAUGGACGCGUUUAGGAAUAACGAUCGGCAUAAACUACUUCUCGUUCUUUACGAUUGAGCCGAAUUGGAUCAGAAUCUUCCGAUCUUUAUGUUUAUAUGACGCAUUUUUAUACCGAUCGGGCAUUUAUUCCGAUUGUUUAUGCCCAUAUAAACGCAUCUACUGUCUUAAACCUGCCGCAAACAAAGCUUUCGUAACACUUGAGCGUGGUUCAAGUGCCACGGUCCACUACUGAACUGGUUUCAACUCUGAGCUUUGAGCCACAGUUUAAGUGCACUCGGGAAUUUCCAGCUGGAGAUCCAGCCCGGCUAUCAUUUAGAGCGCACCACAAAGUGAAGUCUGCUUGCAAAGUAUUUCCUCCAGCGUGAAAUUACAGUUCAAGCCCAUCACAAACGAAACAAAACAAAAAAACAACAACACAGAUGUCUGACUGGUUUGUGAGGAAGACUUCAUGAGUAAAAGAGAGAUGAUGGAUUAGACUAUGUUUUGAGAACUCAAAGGGGGAUUGUCGGUAGUUCCUCUCUGAACCUCUGCUUGUCUCAUAUGGGGAUUGUUAGUGGAUAGACUUUUUCUUUGUCCCUGCAGAUGCUGGAUUGGGAUCUAGGCUGGGAAACUCAGAGACAUAAACAUAGUUAUCCAGAGGCUUCCUCUUAAUUGUCUCCACAGAGCCAUUUUCCUUUAAUGUCAUGAUCAGAGGGCAAAGUUUAAGUAUUGUUGUUUUGUAGUUUCCAAGUCCAAUAAAUGUAAAAGAUAAGACAUUUCUUCAUUUUUGGCCCCGAACUAGAUGAGCAAAUUAUCGUGAAAAUCUGGAGUGUUUAACGCCCUCCUUUAAAGCAGACAUAUUCAUGACUGUGAAGCUACAUUCACAAGCACCAAAAAUGUACAAUUUCUUUGUGGAUUUCUGGUAAUUUCUUUAAGAAGGUGGGUGAGGUAAUGUGAAGAGGCAUCAGAAAAUACUGGGGUAACUCAUUGUGGUCAGCCUGAGUCAGUUACAGAUGGCAGCACUUGCUUUUAUGACAGAUGAACAAAAAGGAAAAUAUUUAUUGAGGUAAAAGCGCUAAAGUAAUAACCCAGAUGAGGGAAAAUGUGAGGUUUUUUUUACCCAUUUGGCUGACUGCCUUCAUUUUUGCAACCAGCUGCCCAUUAAAAAGGACUGCAGGUUAAAUCACUUCUGUUUUCACAUCUUAAUAAUCAUCUCUGCCGUAAAAUAUCAUUAUUUCAGAAAAACUGUGUUGCAUGAGCAGCUUAAAUGACAAACAAUGGCAAACUCAAAGACAGGUUAAAACCCAGCAGCGUUUCUGUCCUAGCACAGACUGUGUUUUGUUGCUGUUGUGUGAGACAUCCUGUCUCCUGUGAAAGUAAUAACUGUGGUUUCCUCACAGACAACCGGACCCACUAACAACACAGCAGACAAAAGGUUCGCUCGCUGGCUUCAUCCUCCUCCUGAGGUUCCUGUGACCUCUGGUGAACUCUGAACCUCACACGCUGUCCCUGUUUGGAAAUGACAAAACCCUCACAUCCUGUGACAGACACGUACAAAAGCCCGUCCCUUCCUAACCCUCUAAAUCCCACAGGUCAUAAAGUGAGGGACCCUGAUGCCACAGUUUUAU
rnacentral:lncRNA from 1 species